rnacentral:rRNA from 1 species
AUUGAACGCUGGCGGCAGGCCUAACACAUGCAGGUCGAACGGUAACAGGAAGAAGCUUGCUUCUUUGCUGACGAGUGGCGGACGGGUGAGUAAUGUCUGGGAAACUGCCUGAUGGAGGGGGAUAACUACUGGAAACGGUAGUUAAUACCGCAUAACGUCGCAAGACCAAAGAGGGGGACCUUCGGGCCUCUUGCCAUCGGAUGUGCCCAGAUGGGAUUAGCUAGUAGGUGGGGUAACGGCUCACCUAGGCGACGAUCCCUAGCUGGUCUGAGAGGAUGACCAGCCACACUGGAACUGAGACACGGUCCAGACUCCUACGGGAGGCAGCAGUGGGGAAUAUUGCACAAUGGGCGCAAGCCUGAUGCAGCCAUGCCGCGUGUAUGAAGAAGGCCUUCGGGUUGUAAAGUACUUUCAGCGGGGAGGAAGGGAGUAAAGUUAAUACCUUUGCUCAUUGACGUUACCCGCAGAAGAAGCACCGGCUAACUCCGUG